rnacentral:rRNA from 1 species
CGUAGGCAGCAAGCGUUGUUCGGAAUUACUGGGCGUAAAGAGUACGUAGGUGGUUUGCCAAGUCCGAUGUGAAAUCUCCUGGCUUAACUGGGAGGGUGCGUUAGAUACUGGCAGGCUUGAAUGUGGGAGAGGAGAGCGGAAUUCCUGGUGUAGCGGUGAAAUGCGUAGAUAUCAGGAGGAACGCCUGUGGUGUAGACGGCUCUCUGGACCAUUAUUGACACUGAGGUACGAAAGCGUGGGUAGCAAACAGGAUUAGAUACCCUGGUAGUCCACGCCCUAAACGAUGCAUACUUGGUGUGGGCAGUUCAGUCUGUCCGUGCCGGAGCUAACGCGUUAAGUAUGCCGCCUGGGGAGUACGGUCGCAAGGCUG